UACGUAGGGUGCAAGCGUUGUCCGGAAUUAUUGGGCGUAAAGAGCUCGUAGGCGGCCAUGCAGGUCCGUUGUGAAAACUCGAGGCUCAACCUCGAGACGCCGAUGGAAACCGUGUGGCUAGAGUCCGGAAGAGGAGAGUGGAAUUCCUGGUGUAGCGGUGAAAUGCGCAGAUAUCAGGAAGAACACCCGUGGCUAAGGCGGCUCUCUAGUACGGUACUGACGCUGAGACGCGAAAGCGUGGGGAGCGAACAGG
rnacentral:rRNA from 1 species